AUUGAACGCUGGCGGCAGGCCUAACACAUGCAAGUCGAGCGGAUGAAGGGAGCUUGCUCCUGGAUUCAGCGGCGGACGGGUGAGUAAUGCCUAGGAAUCUGCCUGGCAGUGGGGGAUAACGUCCGGAAACGGGCGCUAAUACCGCAUACGUCCUGAGGGAGAAAGUGGGGGAUCUUCGGACCUCUCGCUAUCAGAUGAGCCUAGGUCGGAUUAGCUAGUUGGUGGGGUAAAGGCCUACCAAGGCGACGAUCCGUAACUGGUCUGAGAGGAUGAUCAGUCACACGGGAGCUGAGACGGGGACCAGACUACUGCGAGAGGCAGCAGAGGGGAAUAGUAGGCAGUGGGGGAGAGCCUGAUACAGCCAUGCGGCGUGUGUGAAGAAGGUCUUCGGAUUGUGAAGCACUUUAAGUUGGGGGAAAGGGCAGUAAGUUAAUACCUUGCUGUAUUGACGUUACCAACAGAAUAAGCACCGGCUAACUACGUG
rnacentral:rRNA from 1 species